UGCCAGCCGCCGCGGUAAUACGGAGGGUGCAAGCGUUAAUCGGAAUUACUGGGCGUAAAGCGCGCGUAGGCGGUUUGAUAAGUGUGAUGUGAAAGCCCAGGGCUUAACCUUGGAACUGCAUCACAUACUGUCAGGCUAGAGUACGAGAGAGGGGGGUAGAAUUCCUAGUGUAGCGGUGAAAUGCGUAGAUAUUAGGAGGAAUACCAGUGGCGAAGGCGGCUAACUGGCUCGGUACUGACGCUGAGAUGCGAAAGCGUGGGGAGCAAACAGGAUUAGAUA
rnacentral:rRNA from 1 species